GCCGAGCCUUGUAAUGUGGGCUUGUAACUCUAGUGGGGGCAAUAAUGUGGUGGAAUGUUGGGUUGUUCCUGAUGGCUGGACUUUGGUGAGCCAAUGUCUGGUCUACCCUAUCCAAGCACGGAGUUGAGCCAUGUGUUGUUCCAAACGAAAGUUUGGGUUGCUUGGCUCCUAGAGUGGGGCGGAACGCAUGAGGCUGGUUUCACAGAGCAACGAAUAGUCUCCGCUCUGUGCAGUGGGAAGGAUAAUGGGUCAGUGCUUUCUGAGUUCAAUAAAAACCUAAUGGGCUAUCUAAUUAGACCACCACUUUU
rnacentral:SRP_RNA from 2 species